AGGGCGGUGAGCGUUCCGCCCUAAUUCCAGUUAAAAUGCCGCAUAGUAGGCUGUCGUAGUUAAAACGUUCGUAUGUGAAUAUUAAAGAGUCCGAUGUUUCAUUUAAACUGGUUUGGGAAGAGGAAAUAUAUUAUAUAUUUUGCUUUGUUCAAAAUAAGGUUUUCUAAUAAAUUAUGUUUUUAUCAGAUAUGACAGAAUCUUUUUUAAAAUCUCUUCAAUAUGCUUUUAUUGCUUUUGAGAGGUUUUGUUACUUUGAGUAAAAUUAAGUGUUCAUAACAGACGGGUAGUCAUGAUUGAGUUCAUUGUGUUUGAAUACUACAGCAUGGAAUAACAAAUAUGAAUAAGCUAAUUAUUUUUUUUUUUCAUUAUUUUUUUUGAUAUUCUUAUUAGCUUAGUUACGAUUAAUAGGAGUAGCUUUGGGGGCAUUCGUAUUCAGAUGUCAGAGGUGAAAUUCUAAGAUUUUCUGGAGACGGACUACUGCGAAAAGCAUUUGCCUAAUCUAUUUCCAUUAAUCAAGAACGAAAGUUAAGGGAGUGAAGACGAUCAGAUACCGUCGUAAUCUUAACCAUAAACUAUACCGACUAGGUGUUGGAUGAAUAUAAAAAAAUAUAUAAAUAUGUAGCAUUUCUUAGGGAAUGUUGAUUUUAUAUUAGAAUUGCUUCCUUCAGUACCUUAUGAGAAAUCAAAGUCUUUGGGUUCUGGGGCGAGUCUUUCGCGCAAGCAAAAAAGUAAAAGAUUUGAGGGAGGCGCACCAGGGGGGGCAUGGGGCUUAUUUUGACUCAAGCGGGAAAUCCA
rnacentral:ncRNA from 1 species